AUGCUGAAAUACCGACAUAUUGCAACCGAGGCUCGAUGCAAAGUAUGCAAAGGCGCAGAUGAGGACAUGUUUCACGCACUCAUCAAGUGCUCCCAUGCCCGCAGCUUCUGGAAAGAAGCUCGACUGUGGCUGGAUAUCAAGUUACCAAAACUCCACCCCCUCACUUGGUGCAUGGACAUUCUGUGUGACUCUCGAUUUAUGGAGGAGGACCGAGCUAAGAUAAUCACUGUUAUGUGGGCUAUAUGGACAUCCCGCAACAACAUAACACAUGACAGGAUUAGUCUAGAGCCGGUUCAAUCCUUAAAGCGCAUUAGGGAAACUCUAAUGUUAUUAGAGCUACCGAUGGAAUAUACCAGAACUCUACCUGGCUAUGGGUGGAGAUCACCGGGUACGGACUACAUCAAAAUCAACACGGAUGGUAGCGUCUCUCCGACUGAAAACAGAAGCGGGGCGGGUGGUGUUGCACGUACCUCCUCCGACUUCAUUGCUACCUAG
rnacentral:rRNA from 1 species